ACAACGGAGAGUUUGAUCCUGGCUCAGGACGAACGCUGGCGGCGUGCUUAACACAUGCAAGUCGAACGAAGUAGCAAUACUUAGUGGCGAACGGGUGCGUAACACGUGACUAACUUGCCCUAGACUGUGGAAUAACGGAGGGAAACUUCCGCUAAUACCGCAUGUUGAGCUUUGGUGGCAUCACCGGGGCUUGAAAGAUUUAUCGGUCUAGGAUAGGGUCGCGGCCUAUUAGCUUGUUGGUAGGGUAAUGGCCUACCAAGGCUAUGACGGCUAUCCGGCCUGAGAGGGUGAACGGACACAUUGGGACUGAGACACGGCCCAAACUUCUACGGAAGGCAGCAGCGGGGAAUAUUGCGCA
rnacentral:rRNA from 1 species